rnacentral:lncRNA from 1 species
UCAUGGCUGCAUGAUGGCAACCUGAAGACAUUUUGGCCUGUAACGAAAAAUCCGACUAAAAGGGUCCGAAUGGUGAUGGAAGGCACCGAGCCUACCGACUCAUGGCCAGGUGUGCCAUGCAUCGUUAAAGGCUGGGCUGGUAAGUGUAGUUUAGGAAGUAGCUAUUCAUUGUACUCAAAGAAAAAACAUUUCUUACAGGGACUUAUGAAGAUGCGUUACGAAAAAUGCAGCUAUUUCUUUACGAAAGCACGGAUGAAAGUGAACCCAUGAAAGAACUAGGCAGGGGUAAAAGAAAAAGACAGCCAAGGCUUCCAGUUGAUUAUGACGACCUGGCUGGGAACGGAACAAGCAGUGACUCCGAUGAGAGCUAUGAGCCACCAAGGCCUCCUACCCCACCGCAGCGAUGCCGUAAGUUCUCCAGAAAGCCUGAAGUAUGUUCUGCCAUGUAUGAAAAGGUUAAACAACCUUCAAAAUCUGGAACAGCAGCGUCACAGUCCCCAGGCAAGAUAUCAAUUCUUUUCAUGCAAUAUGAGCAGUUCUAAGCAAAUUUUU